GCCCUGGUCGUCUAGCCCGGUCAAGGAUAGAGCCCUCUCGAGGCUCUGACGCGAGUUCGAAUCUCGCCCGGGGCG
rnacentral:tRNA from 2 species